rnacentral:vault_RNA from 1 species
CCGGCCAUAGCUCAGCGGUUACUUCUGUUGAUGAAAGGCUUCUUUCGAUUAAAUCUCUUCGGAGGUUCGAACCCCGCGGACGCUUUCCAG